rnacentral:rRNA from 1 species
GCGCAGCAGUCGAGAAUCUUCCACAAUGGGCGAAAGCCUGAUGGAGCGACGCCGCGUGACUGAAGAAGCCCUUCGGGGUGUAAAAGUCUUUUAUCUGGGAACAAUUCCCCGCUUGCGGGGUGAGGGUACCAGAUGAAUAAGGGGCCGCCAAACUCGUGCCAGCAGCGGCGGUAAGACGAGUGCCCCGAGCGUUAUCCGGAAUUAUUGGGCGUAAAGAGCCUUAAGGCGGUUAAGAAAGUUUCCCGUCAAAUUCUUGGGGCUUAACCUCAAGAGCGCGGGGGAUACUACUUGACUCGAGGGCGUUAGAGGCCAGCGGAACGGCCGGUGUAGGGGUGAAAUCCGUUGAUAUCGGCCGGAACACCGAAAGCGAAGGCAGCUGGCUGGGGCGACCCUGACGCUGAUUGGCGAAAGCGUGGGUAGCGAAAAGGAUUAGAUACCCCUGUAGUCC